rnacentral:rRNA from 1 species
CCUACGGGAGGCAGCAGUGAGGAAUAUUGGUCAAUGGACGCAACUCUGAACCCGCCAUGUAGCGUGCAGGAUGACGGCUCUAUGUGUUGUAAACUGCUUUUAUGCGAGGAUAAACUGAGUUACGUGUAUCUUUUUGCAGGUACCGUACGAAUAAGGAUCGGCUAAUUCCGUGCCAGCAGCCGCGGUAAUACGGAGGAUUCGAGCGUUAUCCGGAUUUAUUGGGUUUAAAGGGUGCGAAGGCGGUCCGUUAAGUUAGUUGUGAAAUUCCGAGGCUCAACCUUGGAAUUGCAGCUCGUACUGGUAGGCUAGAGAGUGGUUGAGGUAGGCGGAAUGCGUGGUGUAGCGGUGAAAUGCUUAGAGAUCAUGCAGAACGCCGAUUGCGAAGGCAGCUUACCAAGCUGCUACUGACGCUGAGGCACGAAGGCGUGGGGAGCAAACAGGAUUAGAUACCCCAGUAGUC